UACGUAGGGUGCGAGCGUUAAUCGGAAUUACUGGGCGUAAAGUGUGCGCAGGUGGCCGCGCAAGUCGAGUGUGAAAUCCCCCGGGCUCAACCUGGGAAUUGCAUUUGAGACUGCGUAGCUAGGGUGCGGAAGAGGGAAGCGGAAUUUCCGGUGUAGCGGUGAAAUGCGUAGAUAUCGGAAGGAACACCAGUGGCGAAAGCGGCUUCCUGGCCAGCACCGAC
rnacentral:rRNA from 1 species